rnacentral:rRNA from 1 species
AUUGAACGCUGGCGGCAUGCUUUACACAUGCAAGUCGAACGGCAGCGCGGGCUUCGGCCUGGCGGCGAGUGGCGAACGGGUGAGUAAUGCAUCGGAACGUGCCCAGUAGUGGGGGAUAGCCCGGCGAAAGCCGGAUUAAUACCGCAUACGACCUGAGGGUGAAAGCGGGGGGCCGAAAGGCCUCGCGCUAUUGGAGCGGCCGAUGUCGGAUUAGCUAGUUGGUGGGGUAAAGGCUUACCAAGGCGACGAUCCGUAGGUGGUCUGAGAGGACGACCAGCCACACGGGGACUGAGACACGGCCCAGACUCCUACGGGAGGCAGCAGUGGGGAAUGUUGGACAAUGGGGGCAAACCUGAUCCAGCCAUGCCGCGUGCGGGAAGAAGGCCUUCGGGUUGUAAACCGCUUUUGUUCAGGAAGAAAUCCUUUGGGCUAAUACCCCGGGGGGAUGACGGUACCGGAAGAAUAAGCACCGGCUAACUACGUG